rnacentral:misc_RNA from 1 species
GGAAGGAUCAUUGAAUCUAUCACAAUCCACAACCCGCGAAAUAAUUUGUUGGCCUUUCCGUAUUCACGUACGGGAGUCAGGCUCUGCUGUACUUCGGUACGGGAGAGUUUGGGUCGCUGGCUCUCCCUCACGGGAGAGGCGGUGUCGGUCUUUUAACCAACCAACACCAAACCAAAAUUAAAUAAAAUCGAGUGUAUGGCUUAGAGCCGUCGCUCACUAACCAAGACAACUCUCAACAACGGAUAUCUUGGCUCAUCUAUCGAUGAAGAACGCAGCGAAAUGCGAUACGUAGUGUGAAUUGCAGAAAUACGUGAACCAUCGAAUUUUUGAACGCAAAUUGCGCUCGAGGCUUCGGCCAAGAGCAUGUCUGCCUCAGCGUCGGGUUAAUACUCGCCCUCCACACCCUUGGGUGUGUGAGAGCGGAACUGGCCGUCCCGGCAAGGUUUAAAACCCCUGCCGGGUCAGCUGAAGUGUAGAGGUUGAUGCAUGGACCCGUUAAGGGCCUCGACUGGGUAGGCAAUUCGUUGCUGAUGCUUUAGUUGAUGGCUUGGAUCUGUGCUUGUCGACCCGAACCAGGAACUCAGAUUUAUCUGAGCAAACCCCUAUUUUCUCGACCUGAGCUCAGGCAAGAACACCCGCUGAACUUAAGCAUAUCAAUAAGCGGAGGAAAAGAAACUAACAAGGAUUCCCCUAGUAACGGCGAGCGAACCGGGAAUAGCCCAACUUGAAAAUCUCCCUUUGGAGAAUUGUAGUCUAGAGAAGCGCCCUCAUGAACUGGUGGAGCUCAAGUCGGAUCGAAUGCCGCGUCAGAGAGGGUGAUAACCCCGUCGGCUCCUACCUAGUUCUUCCACGAGGUGCUUUCCACGAGUCGGGUUGUUUGGGAAUGCAGCCCUAAUUUGGAGGUAAAUCCCUUCUAAGGCUAAAUAUUGAGAUGAGACCGAUAGCGAACAAGUACCGUGAGGGAAAGAUGAAAAGAACUUUGAAAAGAGAGUUAAAAGUGCUUGAAAUUGUUGAGAGGGAAGCGCUAGACGCGUGUAGGUGCGCCCAGGCUUAAGCGGUCCUAACGGCCCGUUGAAUGUGCUGGGUGCUGGUCAGAGUGGGUUGGUUUGGCGGGAUAAAAGUCGGGUCCACCCAGGUAACCCGGCCGAUGCCGCCGAACCGACCAAGGCGUUAAGGGCGCUCUGUCCUUCGGGAUCUGCGUCCUAAAGACUCUGGCAGAAACGCGUCUAUCGACCCGUCUUGAAACACGGACCAAGGAGUCUAACAUGUAUGCGAGUUGGCGGGUGGAAAACCCGUAAGCGCAAGUAACCUGACUGGAGGGAUGGCCUGUGCCUGCACCUUCGACCGACCAUGUUGCUUUUGCGAAAGGUUUGAGUGCGAGCAUACCUGUUGGGACCCGAAAGAUGGUGAACUAUGCCUGAGCAGGGUGAAGCCAGAGGAAACUCUGGUGGAGGCUCGUAGAUGUGCUGACGUGCAAAUCGCUUUUCAGACUUGGGUAUAGGGGCGAAAGACUAAUCGAACCAUCUAGUAGCUGGUUCCCUC